GAUGAACGCUGGCGGCGUGCCUAAUACAUGCAAGUCGAGCGAACGGACGAGAAGCUUGCUUUUCUGAUGUUAGCGGCGGACGGGUGAGUAACACGUGGAUAACCUACCUAUAAGACUGGGAUAACUUCGGGAAACCGGAGCUAAUACCGGAUAAUAUUUUGAACCGCAUGGUUCAAAAGUGAAAGACGGUCUUGCUGUCACUUAUAGAUGGAUCCGCGCUGCAUUAGCUAGUUGGUAAGGUAACGGCUUACCAAGGCAACGAUGCAUAGCCGACCUGAGAGGGUGAUCGGCCACACUGGCACUGAGACACGGUCCAGACUCCUACGGGAGGCAGCAGUAGGGAAUCUUCCGCAAUGGGCGAAAGCCUGACGGAGCAACGCCGCGUGAGUGAUGAAGGUCUUCGGAUCGUAAAACUCUGUUAUUAGGGAAGAACAUAUGUGUAAGUAACUGUGCACAUCUUGACGGUACCUAAUCAGAAAGCCACGGCUAACUACGUG
rnacentral:rRNA from 1 species